CAAUCCGCCGCUUGAUUUAUGUCAGCUAUUGUGGCUGAUUACAUGCCAGUGUGACUGCGGGGAGAGAACAAAUGGGGAGAGAGAGACGUUCUGCGAGAGACACCAAGUUUUCAGAGGGAAUAAAUCGAUCCGCGAGUUACGAUUUAAUUUUUUAGACGCAUCGACAAUCGCCGACAUCCCCAGUCCGGACAAUGUGGGGAUGUAGAAAAGCGGACUGGGAGAAAGAAAAGAAGAGAAAUGGUCUGUCAGGCCGCUGAGAAAAGAAGUUUAAAAUGCCUUGAACUAUUCACCGCUGAGAUGGCUAAUCAGUAUUGAGGCUCCAGGGCAAUCGGGCAGCUUUUCAAUGCGGUUUUCCUUUCAUCUCAAUCGGGAUUGGGGCGCUCAAUUAAAAGCCUAUCAGUUUGUCAACUUGGAGAGCAAGAAAACCUGGAGUGGACAGCCAAGGGGGCAAAAAAUAUGUUUUCCCUGAAAAAUAUAAGAACUAACUACAAACGCGAAGUGUGUUGGAGUCCACAAUCUGCUGCAAAUACAAUCUGGGACGAAGGCUAGAGUGAAUAAAAGAAAAGAAAAAGAAACAUCUUCUCCACAUGGUAAAAAGCAGAAUGCACGGAAACAUUUUGACAAUUAAAUCCAACACACAAGAGUAAAAACACACUUCUCAGCAAACAGUUAAAAAAAAAAGAAAAAGAGAGAGACCAGUUUCAUCUCAUAGUUGAGACCUUGAAUCAGCUUAUAGGCCCACAGUGGUCAGCAUGACUUAAAGCUUAGUAAACUGUGUAUGAAUCAAUAAAAACAAGCAAUACUUGUAUUCUUUAUGAAGGCACAAGUCAUUAUCUUGAGAUGUCUCGUAAUAUAAACAGUA